ensembl:snRNA U6 U6 spliceosomal RNA
AGCCACAGCUCUACUUCUGGCUUUUUGGUGGAUAAACAGAGAUAAGAAGAUUAGCAUGGCCCCUGUGCAAGGAUGACACACAAAUUCAUGAAGCAUUCCAUAUUUUU